rnacentral:lncRNA from 1 species
UGCCAAAGAAUGAGAAGGACAAGCUACUUUGGAUAAAGUUCAAUGAAGCUUUGUGACUUUUUUAAGUAUUAUUUUUAACUCUACAGAUGCUGCUAGUACUUUUUUUUAAUCCCAACCUGAAGUCAAAGUCCUGAUCCUGAUGUAGUAUAAACAUUAGCCCUGAGUAGGGAGACAGGGAUGUCCAGCCCUGUCACAUGCCACUGUGCUGCAAAAGCAGGGAGGGGCACACCCCUCUCCCUUUCUCUCCUUGGUGAAUGCUCUAAAGAAUUCUGUCCUGCACCCUCCUGCCUUCUCCCUCCAUCGACACUGACAUCCUGGAGGAUCUCAUUCUUCUCUAUGGUUUCAAAUACUUGUCCAUAAUGAUGGCUCUCACAUCUCCAUCCCCAGCCCCCAGCCUUUCUCCUGAGCAUCAGGCCACCAUCACCGUCUGCCUGGUCACAAUGGACAGGACUGUUAUAGUGGCCCCACAAACUUUAUGUCUGCCAGAACUGCUCCACCAUGUGAGUGCCAUCCCCCAACACAAACAUGAGCAUACACACAAAGGCACACACACACACACACACACAGGCACACAUGUACACACCACCCUUCUGACUCCUUCAGUUGGCAAAAGGACUCCCCACUUGCUCUCUUCUCACUGACCGCUGAACUGUACCGACAUCCUCCCACUCUCUUCCUGACGACGCUUUUCUCUUUACCACCAUCAUCGCUGCCCCAUCCUUUCCACCCUUCAUUUAUGAACAAAUGGCCUGAGUUCAGACCCUUGACAUCUCUCACCAGGUGAAGCAGCCACCUUCUUACUAGUUUCCUGCCUAUAUCCAUUCAUUGCACUAUAUUUUCAUUACAAAUUUUAUUACUAAUUACAUUUCCUAAAUUAUCUUUCUGAAACACAGAUUGGAUCCUGUCACUCUCCUACUGAAAAUCUUCAGUGGUUCCCCAUUGACUACAGGACAAAAUAAGUCAAAAUUCCUCAGUAUGACUCUCAAGGCCUUCUUGGUCUUCCCCCCAAAGACCUCUCCUGCCUCACCCUGUCCCUCCACGCUAUCUUCUCCACUCCUACAGGUUCAGUGUUCCUGAGCCAGAGGAGGCUACUUCUGUGCUCGGUACCUGUUGUCCCCUUGCCUUGGAAUUCACUCAUUCACUUAAGCAUUUAUUUUGCAAGUAUAAAGUGAGUACCCAGAGAGUCCCAGGCAUUGGCGAUACAGGACACAGCAAAAUCCUCCAACUCUCUCCUCCUGGAAUUUGUGGUUCAGUGGUAGGGGAAUAAGACAAU